rnacentral:rRNA from 1 species
UGAACGCUAGCGGGAGGCUUAAUACAUGCAAGUCGAGCGGUAAGGUCUUCGGACCCUAGAGCGGCGCACGGGUGAGUAACGCGUACGAAACCUGCCUUUAAGAGGGGCAUAGCCCUGGGAAACUGGGAGUAAUACCUCAUAGUAUUUAUUUACUGCAUGGUGAAUAGAUUAAAGCCGAGGCGCUUAAAGAUGGUCGUGCGUCUGAUUAGCUAGUUGGUAGGGUAACGGCCUACCAAGGCGACGAUCAGUAGGGGGCGUGAGAGCGUGGCCCCCCACACGGGUACUGAGACACGGACCCGACUCCUACGGGAGGCAGCAGUAAGGAAUAUUGGGCAAUGGACGGAAGUCUGACCCAGCCAUCCCGCGUGCAGGAAGAAUGCCCUAUGGGUUGUAAACUGCUUUUGUUUGGGAAGAAAUGUACUUUUUCAAGAGUAUUUGACGGUACCAGACGAAUAAGCACCGGCUAACUCCGUGCCAGCAGCCGCGGUAAUCUGAUGGCGCGAGG